AAAAUGCGAUAACUAGUGUGAAUUGCAGAAUUCCGUGAAUCAUCGAGUCUUUGAACGCACAUUGCGCCCCCUGGUAUUCCGGGGGGCAUGCCUGUCCGAGCGUCAUUGCUGCCCAUCAAGCACGGCUUGUGUGUUGGGUCGUCGUCCCCUCUCCGGGGGGGACGGGCCCCAAAGGCAGCGGCGGCACCGCGUCCGAUCCUCGAGCGUAUGGGGCUUUGUCACCCGCUCUGUAGGCCCGGCCGGCGCUUGCCGAACGCAAAUCAAUCUUUUUCCAGGUUGACCUCGGAUCAGGUAGGGAUACCCGCUGAACUUAAGC
rnacentral:misc_RNA from 1 species